rnacentral:rRNA from 1 species
UACGGAGGGGGCUAGCGUUGUUCGGAAUUACUGGGCGUAAAGGGCGCGUAGGCGGCCACCGCAAGUCGACUGUGAAAUCUCCGGGCUUAACCCGGAAAGGUCAGCCGAUACUGCGGGGCUAGAGUGCAGAAGGGGCAACUGGAAUUCUCGGUGUAGCGGUGAAAUGCGUAGAUAUCGAGAGGAACACCUGCGGCGAAGGCGGGUUGCUGGGCUGACACUGACGCUGAGGCGCGAAGGCUAGGGGAGCGAACGGG